GGAUUACCUUACAAGUCCGACGGUAGGGCUUUAUCGUAAGAUAGAGCUUUAGAGUGGCGAAUGGGUGAGUAACACGUAGGAAUCUACCCUUAAGACGGGGACAACCCAGGGAAACUUGGGCUAAUACCGGAUGAGAGUGCGAGAGAUUGCAUUUAAAAGGAUGGCGAAAGUUAUCGCUUAGGGAUGAGCCUGCGGUCUAUUAGUUAGUUGGUGGGGUAAGAGCUCACCAAGGCGAUGAUAGAUAGGCGGGCUUAACGGGUGGUCGCCCACACUGGGAUUGAGAUACGGCCCAGACUCCUACGGGAGGCAGCAGUCGAGAAUAGUCUACAAUGGCCGGAAGGCUGAUAGUGCGACGCCGCGUGAACGAGGGAGCCCCUUCGGGGUGGUAAAGUCUUUUCUAUCGGAGCAGUGCUAUAUAUAUGGAUAGUAUAUAUAGAGGGAUAGUAGUAUAGGAUAAGCCACGGCCUACCUCGUGCCCAGCAGCCGCGGUACACGGGGGGUUGCGAGCGGUUGUCCGGGAAUUACUGGGCGUUAAGGGCCAGUAGGGCGGAUCUACGAGUUUUUUGUUAAGGGCUACGGCUCAACUGUAGUAAAGCAAGAAAUACUGUAGGUCUGGAAUGGCGGUAGGGGAAGACAGAAUUCCUGGUGUAGCGGUGGAAUGCGCAGAGAUCAGGAGGAAUACAGAAGGCGGAGGCAGUCUUCUAGGCCGUAAUUGACGCUUAACUGCGAAGGUGUGGGGAUCAAACAGGAUUAGAUACCCUGGUAGUCCACACAGUAAACGAUAAUCACUAGAUGUCGGGUUCUAGAUGGAUUCGGUGUCGGAGCUAACGCGUUAAGUGAUUCGCCUGGGGAGUACGAUCGCAAGGUUGAAACUCAAAGGAAUUGACGGGGGCCCGCACAAGCGGUGGAGCAUGUGGUUUAAUUCGAGGCAACGCGAAGACCCUUACCCGGUUUUGACAUCCACGGGAGGCUUCAGAGAUGGAGCUGUGCCGGCGCAAGCUGGAGCCGUGAGACAGGUGCUGCAUGGCUGUCGUCAGCUCGUGUCGUGAGAUGUUGGGUUAAGUCCCGCAACGAGCGCAACCCUUGCCUUCAGUUACCAUCAUUAAGUUGGGGACUCUGGAGGGACCGCUGCGGUAACAACGCAGAGGAAGAUGGGGACGACGUCAAGUCAUCAUGGUCCUUAUGGCCGGGGCUACACACGUGCUACAAUGGCAGUUACAGAGGGAAGCGAUUCAGUAAUGAGGAGCGAAACUCAGAAAAGCUGCCGCAGUUCGGAUUGAGGUCUGCAACUCGCCCUCAUGAAGUCGGAAUCGCUAGUAAUCGCGCAACAUCAUGGUGCGGUGAAUACGUUCCCGGCCCUUGUAGACACCGCCCG
rnacentral:rRNA from 1 species